CGUUGUAACUGCAUUCCAUCUGAUCACCUUAUUCUAAUUACCCGGUUUCGUGCAACCGGAAGAUGAGGUCACGUGUAAUGUUUUCGUGGUUAAAUCACUCGUCCGCUGGCACAGGUGCUUUCAGAUGGCUGCUGCAUAUGGCUAGUCAUUUCUCAUGCAUUGACUGAAAUAUAUCACUCGUCACUUGGCUUGCGGCCCACUGAAUAUUGCUACUGUUUGUAAGAUAGAUUAUAAUUGGUUAUCUUCAAUGAUAAUUGUUCGCUAAAAACUGUCGGGAGGGAGAUAUUGUUGUUUAAAAAAACAACAAAAAUUGCUCUAUUUACUGUUUAUUAUUUUAAGAUCUUUCGCAUAACAACCAGUUGCCUUCGUGAUAAAUCAUCUGAUGCUUUCCUUUCUUCUCUCCCUCCCGCUUUCAGUCAUUUCUCUUCAGUUGGAUUAAUUCUGUCGUUUGGUGAACGUAACACUUGGCAUUUUCGACUUGUCAAUUGGAUCUUAACAUGGCAGAGUCUCAUCACUCCAAGGGUGGAGCUGGGAUUCUAGCUAAAGCCCAGAAAAGGCUGGUCAGAACAAAAGCAAAGGUGUUGCAAAACCUUGGAAAAGCUGCACGGACCACAGAUCAAACAUUUGAUGAAUAUGUGAGCAAUUUCAACAAGCAGCAGGCAAUACUUACAAAGCUUCAGAAAGAUCUCCGAAAUUACCUAAACUGUUUAAAAGCUGUAUCAUAUGCCAACAAGACACUCUGUGACACAUUGUAUGAAGUUUAUGAAGAUGACUGGGAAGACCAGAAAUCCUUCCACAGUCAUUUAGAGUCUUUUGAAUUGCACUGGAUGGAUUACGUAAGUUCUUUAAAUGACCAUGUCCAAGAGCCAAUUAUAAUACAUUUGAAUAAAUUUCCAGAGUUAAGAGUGAAAAUCAAUAAAAGAGGAAGAAAGCUUGUUGAUUUGGAUAACACGAGGCAUACACUAGAAAACCUGAUUGGACAGAAGAAAAGAGAUGAAGCAAAAAUUGCAAAAGCACAAGAAGAGUUUACAGAAGCCAAAAAAGUGUUUGAUGAUAUUAAUAAUGAGCUACAAGUUGAACUUCCAGAGUUUUAUGACAAACGGGUACCGUUUUACUCCCAAUCAUUCCAAAACCUGUUUGCUGCAGAAAAAGCCUUUCAUUCAGAACAAGGAAAUAUAUCAGCAACUUUGAUUGAAAUUUGUGAGUCUUUAUCAGCAAAUUUUAUAUUACCUGAAAGAAAAUCAACGAUACGAUCAGUAUCUGAGAGCAAUCAUCACCUUCAAAAUGUAAUUGACAGCUUCCAACAGUUUCAGAUGCAAUCUAAAGACAAUGGUGUAAUCUCCUUAGUUUUAAAGAGUGAUUCAGAAAAUACAACAAUUUGUCCUAGUCAAGAGGAUAUCAAUGAACCAGAGUCUGAGCUUUAUCAAAAUGUGACCAUCACUAACCAAGAACACCCUAACAGUGGAGAGAGUUCUGAAGCAGUCUUUCAACGUACUUCACCAAGUCUACAGGCAUCUGCUAAACCAUCUGAAGAUUCUGCAGGCUCAGUAAGUGUUUGCGAAGAGAAUGUUUCAGAAUAUCAGUCAUGCCUUGAAGAUUCUAGUCUCUAUGAAGUACCCCCAAACAACCAGUCCCUUAAAAAGCUUCCAGAUGGUAUACUAUAUCAAGUUCAAGCAACACAUCCCUAUACACAAGCAGAUAGUGAUGAAUUAACAUUUGAAGCUGGUGAAGUGAUUGAUGUUAUUGAACCAGAUAAUCUUGAAGAAAUGGAUGAUGGCUGGCUAAUGGGAAUUAAACAAUCUGAUGGCAUACAAGGAGUUUUUCCUGCCAACUUCACUAAAAAACUACUUGGUUGAUUAAGCAAAGAUUACUACAUAGUUAUUGUUAUUGUUGUUGUCAAUACUGUUGUCUCCCUGUAAGCCCAGGCUGGGACAAAUAGUUGGACUCGACUAUGUAACUGAACAACGACUGCAUUGAACUCACCAGUUUGGGAAGAUUUGGGUGCUUUAUGAGCACAAUACCAUCCUUCUCAGAUUAAACAAAGAAAAAAAAUCAAGGUCAUCCCUGAUUUACAACUGAAAAAUUGUAAUUAUGAAUGAUGGCUUGUAAAAUUUCUCAUGAAAAACGUGGAAAAAUUAUGUCUAAAACAAACAUUAAAAAAGCUAUAAGCAUUCAGGUAGUUUUUGUGAUCAGAUCUUACGAAUUCAACUUUUGUAUAAAAUUUUUAUGGCUAGUAUGCUUAAGUCCUAAACCAUUUUCCUUUUAGGUGUGUUAUUUCAGCUAAGCUGCUUCACUUAAUGAAAUCAAUCAAAAAUACAAUCCCAGUUGUUAAUCAGUGUAACUGAACCCAUCUUGAAGAAAAUAUCAAAAGAUAUAUAAUUUGAAUUUUUGUGGUGGCUUUUGAAAUUUUCUUUUACAGCCUUUCUGAUGGUUGUACUAUUUUCAGUUCUAAAUAUUUCUAAUUUGCAGCUAUGCAAAAAUUAACAGUAAAAUGGGUGCUAAUGUUCUUGAUGUAAUGAACCAAAAAAUUUUAAUUAAUUAUAAUUAUAUAUCAUUAAUGAUGAGAGCAGUUAAUAUAUGAGAUGCAGUGAGAAGUGAGUUUGACAUUUAGCAAUAUAGGAACAACUAAAGACGUGUUCCAAUCUUGCUAGACUUCAUCAGCAAAGCAUUGCCUUACUGUUACUGCAAGAUCUUGGAAUUACUGGGGAGAAAUAAAAUUUCUUGUGAAUGUAAUAACUUAAAAGUAUAACUAGAAGGGGUAAGAGUGAAAUACCCAAGGAUGCCUGCUGCACAAAAGCAAAAUCUUAAUAGUAAAAU
rnacentral:misc_RNA from 1 species